rnacentral:lncRNA from 1 species
AUGGGGCUUCCCAGCAUGCCCCGCUCCGCCCGGACACGCCCCCUCCAGCAAGGACACGCCCCUCCGCCCCGGACACGCCCCCUCCAGCAAGGACACGCCCCUCCGCCCCGGACACGCCCCCUCCAGCAAGGACACGCCCCUCCGCCCCGGACACGCCCCCACCAGCAAGGACACGCCCCUCCGCCCUGGACACGCCCCCUCCAGCAAGGACACGCCCCUCCGCCCCGGGCACGCCCCCUCCGCCCCGGGCACACACGCCCCCUCCAGCCUGGGCACACCCCUCUCCACCCCAGACACGCCCCCUCCGCCCCGGGCACACCCCUCUCCACCCCGGACACGCCCCCUCCAGCCUGGGCACACCCCUCUCCACCCCGGACACGCCCCCCUCCGCCCCGGGCACACCCCUCUCCACCCCGGGCACGCCCCCCUCCGCCCCGGGCACACCCCUCUCCACCCCGGGCACGCCCCCCUCCACCUGGCACGCCCCUUCCCAUCCUGGCACGCCCCGCUGCCGCACCUACAGCAGGCUCUCCAGGGGACUGUCGGUUCACCAUCUCGGGCUGCUCCAGCGCAGGCUGGCAUCCCCUAGCAGGGAUAAGGAAUGGGCUUGUGUGCAGGAAUAAGACUUAUUCAAGAUAUCUCCACGCGAUAUGGUCCAAAAGGCAGCUGGGAGUCUGGAGUGACCCUGGACUACUCUCUGGUUCACCAGGGUUACACUGUAAGUCUCCCUUCUUGGAUUUGGCUCCACCUGGCCCCUUUGGGACCCUCCAAACCCAAGCCUGUGGAUCUCCUAGGGUAAUUUCUGCCUGACUUUGGAGCCCAGGAUGAAGACAAGACAAGACGUGUUACUCAGGACAGGUCAUAGGUUUGUCAUCUGCCAAGAGAUCUGACAAAUGUGAUCUGGGUUAGUGGGUUUUCCAUCAUCUUGGGUUUGAUCAGUGUGUUUUUGUUUUUGUUUUUUGGCAUUGUUCUUUGUUUUUAACAUCUAAUGAUGUUAGAAAUGUACAGUCCUGAAACAUUAGCUUCAAUUAUUUCUCUAUUCCGAAAUAAAGGCAGAAAACCCUUUUUUUCCGAGCCUGAGAAUUUAUUUUUUAAUAGUACCCAGAUGUUUUCUGAGAGAGCAUAGUAGUAAAGAUUUCUACAAUAAUGAAGCAAACAGAGGUGAUGAAAAAUAGUGUUUAGCCUGCACUGUAUAUCCUUGUCUAUAUUUUAAAAAUAAAGUGGUCUAGUUGGGAAAAAAGCUUAAUACAGGAUAUUAAAGAAAGUCUUAAAACAAGCCCCAAAUACUUCUUUAGAGAAAAGAGAUCAUUCUUAAACACUUUUUGAAUGUUUAAUAUGAUUUAAUAACACAUUAAAAUAAUCUAAGUAUCCAGCUAAACAUAGAUUGAUCAGGAAAAUAUAUGGUCCUAUCUCCAGGGAUUUGGCUGAAAAAUCAGUACUAAAAUUCAAUGAAACAGACCCAAAUUUAUUAUAGCGGACAUAGUAUUAUCUCUGUUUUGAAACAGUAUUUAGUUAAUAUACAUUGUAUUUUUUUCUUUCUGAAGAAUGCCAUUUACGAAGUCCUUAGUGAAGAGCUAAAAAAUAAUUAAUAUAUAAACACUUCAACUUUAAGCUUUCUCAUUGUAGUUUCCUGUUGGAGUAAAUAAAAGACCUUCAUUACAAGUGAGGCCUUAUACCACAUCUUUUUUUUUUUUUUCUAAUUCUUUUGGAUGUUUUGGAACUAUUGCCCAUUAAAAAAAAAAUCUGAUUGCUAAAUCAGUUAAAAUAGAAUCCAACUAUGGUUUUUCUCUUUGCUGUGUUUUUAUUUUUUGUUACUUCUUGCAUUCUAUAUACAAACACUGUGCUUUGAUAUUUCAAAACCAUUAAGUAACAGAAAGGGGGAAUUUCCAAAAUGAGAUUUCUGCUUGCUUUCUAUGUAGGAAAAUCACAUUAUUGUUUCUGUAUUAUACACAGAAAAAAAUGUAUGGAGCUAAAAGAAUAACUGAGAUAUUGUCUGUUAUGGAAUUGAAAGUAAUAAGCCUGACAGUAGGGAAUCCCUGAGUGGCUCAGCAGUUUAGCGCUUGCCUAUGGCCCAGGGUGCGAUCCUGGAGUCCCGGGAUUGAGUCCCACGUCAGGCUCCCUGCAUGGAGCCUGCUUCUCCCUCCUCCUGUGUCUCUGCCUCUCUCUCUCUCUCUAUCAUAAAUAAAUAAAUAAAAAAUAAAUAAAUAAAUCUUAAAAAAAAAAAAAAAAGCCUGACAGUAACUUUUUUUUUUGUCCUCAAGGAGAAAUAUCAGAGAUUGGUUUCCAUCCUGAGG